rnacentral:rRNA from 1 species
GAUGAACGCUGGCGGCGUGCCUAAUACAUGCAAGUCGAACGAAUCUUCUUCGGAAGAUGAGUGGCGAACGGGUGAGUAAUACAUAGGUAACCUGCCCCUGUGCGGGGGAUAACAGGAGGAAACUCCUGCUAAUACCGCAUAGCCAUGAGCACCGCAUGGAGCUCAUGCCAAAUAUCCUUUACGGGAUAGCGCAGGGAUGGACCUAUGGCGCAUUAGCUAGUUGGCGGGGCAACGGCCCACCAAGGCAACGAUGCGUAGCCGGCCUGAGAGGGCGGACGGCCACAUUGGGACUGAGACACGGCCCAGACUCCUACGGGAGGCAGCAGUAGGGAAUUUUCGGCAAUGGGGGAAACCCUGACCGAGCAACGCCGCGUGAGCGAAGAAGGCCUUCGGGUCGUAAAGCUCUGUUGUAAAGGAAGAACGUCGGACACAGGAAAUGGUGUGCGAGUGACGGUACUUUACCAGAAAGCCACGGCUAACUACGUGCCAGCAGCCGCGGUAAUACGUAGGUGGCGAGCGUUAUCCGGAAUCAUUGGGCGUAAAGAGGGAGCAGGCGGCCGCAAGGGUCUGUGGUGAAAGACCGAAGCUAAACUUCGGUGAGCCAUGGAAACCGGGCGGCUAGAGUGCGGAAGAGGAUCGUGGAAUUCCAUGUGUAGCGGUGAAAUGCGUAGAUAUAUGGAGGAACACCAGUGGCGAAGGCGACGGUCUGGGCCGCAACUGACGCUCAUUCCCGAAAGCGUGGGGAGCAAAUGGGAUUAGAUACCCUAGUAGUCCACG